GACACCACAAUUUGAACAUGUCUUGGCUGUAGGAAAUCUGGUAAGAUGGAACACUGUCUCCCGAUAUUAGGAUUGGAAUGUGUUUUGCCUGUAGGAUAUCUUUUUCUGGUACUGAAAGCUGGAGUUUCUUUGAAAAGAAAGUAAUAGUUAAUUGGAAGACAAAUGCUUCCACAUAUGCCAGGACACCAGCUGCUUUUCUGCUCACUGUUGUGAUCCCUUUCCUCUUUCUGCAGAACUUUGAAGACGUCAUUUAGGAGCUAUUGGCAGAAAACCAAUGUUGGCGACAGAAUGGGAGGCCUGGUACAGUGGGUUGGUUUCAGCAGCCUGAGCCAAGUACUUCUGGUUUUUUUC
rnacentral:lncRNA from 1 species